rnacentral:rRNA from 1 species
GACGAACGCUUGCGGCGUGCUUAACACAUGCAAGUCGAACGGAAAGGCCCUGCUUUUGUGGGGUGCUCGAGUGGCGAACGGGUGAGUAACACGUGAGUAACCUGCCCUUGACUUUGGGAUAACUUCAGGAAACUGGGGCUAAUACCGGAUAGGAGCUCCUGCUGCAUGGUGGGGGUUGGAAAGUUUCGGCGGUUGGGGAUGGACUCGCGGCUUAUCAGCUUGUUGGUGGGGUAGUGGCUUACCAAGGCUUUGACGGGUAGCCGGCCUGAGAGGGUGACCGGCCACAUUGGGACUGAGAUACGGCCCAGACUCCUACGGGAGGCAGCAGUGGGGAAUAUUGCACAAUGGGCGGAAGCCUGAUGCAGCAACGCCGCGUGCGGGAUGACGGCCUUCGGGUUGUAAACCGCUUUCGCCUGUGACGAAGCGUGAGUGACGGUAAUGGGUAAAGAAGCACCGGCUAACUACGUGCCAGCAGCCGCGGUGAUACGUAGGGUGCGAGCGUUGUCCGGAUUUAUUGGGCGUAAAGGGCUCGUAGGUGGUUGAUCGCGUCGGAAGUGUAAUCUUGGGGCUUAACCCUGAGCGUGCUUUCGAUACGGGUUGACUUGAGGAAGGUAGGGGAGAAUGGAAUUCCUGGUGGAGCGGUGGAAUGCGCAGAUAUCAGGAGGAACACCAGUGGCGAAGGCGGUUCUCUGGGCCUUUCCUGACGCUGAGGAGCGAAAGCGUGGGGAGCGAACAGGCUUAGAUACCCUGGUAGUCCACGCUGUAAACGGUGGGUACUAGGUGUGGGGUCCAUUCCACGGGUUCCGUGCCGUAGCUAACGCUUUAAGUACCCCGCCUGGGGAGUACGGCCGCAAGGCUAAAACUCAAAGGAAUUGACGGGGCCCCGCACAAGCGGCGGAGCAUGCGGAUUAAUUCGAUGCAACGCGUAGAACCUUACCUGGGUUUGACAUGGAUCGGGAGUGCUCAGAGAUGGGUGUGCCUCUUUUGGGGUCGGUUCACAGGUGGUGCAUGGCUGUCGUCAGCUCGUGUCGUGAGAUGUUGGGUUAAGUCCCGCAACGAGCGCAACCCUUGUUCACUGUUGCCAGCACGUUAUGGUGGGGACUCAGUGGAGACCGCCGGGGUCAACUCGGAGGAAGGUGGGGAUGACGUCAAGUCAUCAUGCCCCUUAUGUCCAGGGCUUCACGCAUGCUACAAUGGCUGGUACAGAGAGUGGCGAGCCUGUGAGGGUGAGCGAAUCUCGGAAAGCCGGUCUCAGUUCGGAUUGGGGUCUGCAACUCGACCUCAUGAAGUCGGAGUCGUUAGUAAUCGCAGAUCAGCAACGCUGCGGUGAAUACGUUCCCGGG